AAAAAAGGUAAGCUACUAAGAGCGAAUGGUGGAUGCCUUGACUGGUAAAGGCGAUGAAGGACGUACUAGACUGCGAUAAGCUACGGGGAGCUGUCAAGAAGCUUUGAUCCGUAGAUUUCCGAAUGGGGCAACCCAAUGUAUAGAGAUAUACAUUACCUAUAUAGGAGCGAACGAGGGGAAUUGAAACAUCUUAGUACCCUCAGGAAAAGAAAUCAAUAGAGAUUGCGUCAGUAGCGGCGAGCGAAAGCGCAAGAGGGCAAACCCAGUGCUUGCACUGGGGGUUGUAGGACUGCAAUGUGCAAGAGGUAAGUUUAGCAGAACAUUCUGGAAAGUAUAGCCAUAGAGGGUGAUAGUCCCGUAUGCGAAAAACAAACCUUAGCUAGCAGUAUCCUGAGUAGGGCGGGACACGAGGAAUCCUGUCUGAAUCUGGGUCGACCACGAUCCAACCCUAAAUACUAAUACCAGAUCGAUAGUGCACAAGUACCGUGAGGGAAAGGUGAAAAGAACUGAGGUGAUCAGAGUGAAAUAGAACCUGAAACCAUUUGCUUACAAUCAUUCAGAGCCCUAUGUAGCAAUACAGGGUGAUGGACUGCCUUUUGCAUAAUGAGCCUGCGAGUUGUGGUGUCUGGCAAGGUUAAGCAAACGCGAAGCCGUAGCGAAAGCGAGUCUGAAUAGGGCGCUUAGUCAGAUGCUGCAGACCCGAAACGAAGUGAUCUAUCCAUGAGCAAGUUGAAGCUAGUGUAAGAACUAGUGGAGGACUGAACCCAUAGGCGUUGAAAAGCCCCGGGAUGACUUGUGGAUAGGGGUGAAAGGCCAAUCAAACUUCGUGAUAGCUGGUUCUCUCCGAAAUAUAUUUAGGUAUAGCGUUGUGUCGUAAUAUAAGGGGGUAGAGCACUGAAUGGGCUAGGGCAUACACCAAUGUACCAAACCCUAUCAAACUCCGAAUACCUUAUAUGUAAUCACAGCAGUCAGGCGGCGAGUGAUAAAAUCCGUCGUCAAGAGGGAAACAACCCAGACUACCAGCUAAGGUCCCUAAAUCUUACUUAAGUGGAAAACGAUGUGAAGUUACUUAAACAACCAGGAGGUUGGCUUAGAAGCAGCCAUCCUUUAAAGAAAGCGUAAUAGCUCACUGGUCUAGUGAUUUUGCGCGGAAAAUAUAACGGGGCUAAAGUAAGUACCGAAGCUGUAGACUUGCACACAACUUAGAUUAUUUAAGUUUAGAAUAUGAGAAACUAAGUUAUAUGUUUAGUUAUAUUUUUACUGAUUUUUAUAGAGUAAAGAUAGAAAUAAAACUUAGUAAAAUCAGUAAAAAUAUUCUUAGACUAAAGUUAAGUAGUUUAAGUUGUGUGCAAGUGGUAGGAGAGCGUUCUAUUUGCGUCGAAGGUAUACCGGUAAGGAGUGCUGGAGCGAAUAGAAGUGAGCAUGCAGGCAUGAGUAGCGAUAAUUAAUGUGAGAAUCAUUAACGCCGUAAACCCAAGGUUUCCUACGCGAUGCUCGUCAUCGUAGGGUUAGUCGGGUCCUAAGUCGAGUCCGAAAGGGGUAGACGAUGGCAAAUUGGUUAAUAUUCCAAUACCAACAUUAGUGUGCGAUGGAAGGACGCUUAGGGCUAAGGGGGCUAGCGGAUGGAAGUGCUAGUCUAAGGUCGUAGGAGGUUAUACAGGCAAAUCCGUAUAACAAUACUCCGAGAACUGAAAGGCUUUUUGAAGUCUUCGGAUGGAUAGAAGAACCCCUGAUGCCGUCGAGCCAAGAAAAGUUUCUAAGUUUAGCUAAUGUUGCCCGUACCGUAAACCGACACAGGUGGGUGGGAUGAGUAUUCUAAGGCGCGUGGAAGAACUCUCUUUAAGGAACUCUGCAAAAUAGCACCGUAUCUUCGGUAUAAGGUGUGGUUCGCUUCGUAUUAGGAUUUACUCCGAAAGCGAAGAAACUUACAACAAAGAGUCCCUCCCGACUGUUUACCAAAAACACAGCACUCUGCUAACUCGUAAGAGGAUGUAUAGGGUGUGACGCCUGCCCGGUGCUCGAAGGUUAAUUGAUGGGGUUAGCAUUAGCGAAGCUCUUGAUCGAAGCCCGAGUAAACGGCGGCCGUAACUAUAACGGUCCUAAGGUAGCGAAAUUCCUUGUCGGUUAAAUACCGACCUGCAUGAAUGGCGUAACGAGAUGGGAGCUGUCUCAAAGAGGGAUCCAGUGAAAUUGUAGUGGAGGUGAAAAUUCCUCCUACCCGCGGCAAGACGGAAAGACCCCGUGGACCUUUACUACAGCUUGACACUGCUACUUGGAUAAGAAUGUGCAGGAUAGGUGGGAGGCUUUGAGUAUAUGACGCCAGUUGUAUAUGAGCCAUUGUUGAGAUACCACUCUUUCUUAUUUGGGUAGCUAACCAGCUUGAGUUAUCCUCAAGUGGGACAAUGUCUGGUGGGUAGUUUGACUGGGGCGGUCGCCUCCCAAAUAAUAACGGAGGCUUACAAAGGUUGGCUCAGAACGGUUGGAAAUCGUUCGUAGAGUAUAAAGGUAUAAGCCAGCUUAACUGCAAGACAUACAAGUCAAGCAGAGACGAAAGUCGGUCUUAGUGAUCCGGUGGUUCUGUGUGGAAGGGCCAUCGCUCAAAGGAUAAAAGGUACCCCGGGGAUAACAGGCUGAUCUCCCCCAAGAGCUCACAUCGACGGGGAGGUUUGGCACCUCGAUGUCGGCUCAUCGCAUCCUGGGGCUGGAGCAGGUCCCAAGGGUAUGGCUGUUCGCCAUUUAAAGCGGUACGCGAGCUGGGUUCAGAACGUCGUGAGACAGUUCGGUCCCUAUCUGCCGUGGGCGUAAGAAGAUUGAAGAGAUUUGACCCUAGUACGAGAGGACCGGGUUGAACAAACCACUGGUGUAGCUGUUGUUCUGCCAAGAGCAUCGCAGCGUAGCUAAGUUUGGAAAGGAUAAAGGCUGAAAGCAUCUAAGCGUGAAGCCAACUCUAAGAUGAAUCUUCUCUAAGCUCUCUAGAAGACUACUAGUUUGAUAGGCUGGGUGUGUAAUGGAUGAAAGUCCUUUAGCUGACCAGUACUAAUAGAGCGUUUGGCUUAUCUUUAAUAAAGCAU
rnacentral:rRNA from 1 species